rnacentral:rRNA from 1 species
UCUAGAGGGGCCGUUCCCGAGGGACUCACAGAGCGCCCUUCAAUCCUCGACCAACCAAUCGGCAUGAGCUACCGAACAAAGGCAGCCUUUAUCCCGAUUGGUUAGCCGAUGCUGACUGGCACCCAGCACAUACAGCCGGCAGAGCUGCCGGCAUAAGCCUGGGCGCACCCACAGCCUCCAAUCCCUUCCCCCUCAACAAUUUCAAGCACUUUUGACUCUCUUUUCAAAGUUCUUUUCAUCUUUCGUUCAAACUACUUGUUCGCUAUCGGUCUCCCGUCCAUAUUCAGCCUUAGAUGGGAUUUACCACCUACUUAGGGCUGCAUUCCCAAGCAACCCGACUCUGCGAAAGCACCUCGUGGAGCGACAGAAGCACAGGCCUACGGGGUUCUCACCCUCUUUGACGCCCCUUUCCAGGGAAACUUGGGCCUGGCCUGCCGCAGAGGAAGCCUCUGGAGACUACAAUUCGCCAGCCGAGGGCUGGAGAUUUUCAAGUUGGGCUCAUCCCGGUUCACUCGCCGUUACUAGGGGAAUCCUAGUUAGUUUCUUUUCCUCCGCUUAUUGAUAUGCUUAAGUUCAGCGGGUAAUCUUGCCUGACCUCAGGUCGAAANNNNUGAGAAAGGGCUNNNNNNNNC